rnacentral:rRNA from 1 species
UACGUAGGGUGCAAGCGUUGUCCGGAAUUAUUGGGCGUAAAGAGCUCGUAGGCGGUUAGUCGCGUCUGCUGUGAAAACUCGGGGCUUAACUCCGGGCCUGCAGUGGGUACGGGCUGACUAGAGUGCGGUAGGGGAGAUCGGAAUUCCUGGUGUAGCGGUGAAAUGCGUAGAUAUCGGGAGGAAUACCGAUGGCGAAGGCAGGUCUCUGGGCUGACACUGACGCUCAUGCACGAAAGCGUGGGGAGCAAACAGG